AUGGCGCAACCACGCAUUCCCGCAUUUGGGGACUGGGAGAACAGCGAGGACGUCCCUUACACACAGAAGUUCGAGGGCGCACGGAAGAACAAGAAAACAGGCGUUUACUCCAAUCCAAAUGAGCCAGGACAUCAGCAGCCCGACCCCCCUCGCAGGUCACCGCUGAACCCAUCAGCAUAUACACCUGAGCCCCGAGAACAGGCUCCCAGGACUCCAUUACAUGGAAGAAGGUCUGGAGCCGACCCCCAUCACCGUGAACCCGCGCCACGAAGGCAUGCAAAUCCUCCGCGGGAGCAAGGGGGGAACGGUGGCAGCGCGCCCAGAAGCCCUUACAGAAAUGCUGCAGGUUCUGCUUCGCCAAUGCAGUCAAACAGUUCAGCAAAGCCGAGGAACAGGGCAGCUGGAAUGCACACUCCAGAGAGGAGGCCUUCGUCGGAAGCGCAGGGCCAGCAAACUCCUGGAAGGGGCAGGACGAGGCAGAGCAACCAAAGCUACAAUCCUGACGAUGAAGUGGCUGUUCCACCAUUUGGUGAGUGGGAUGAGGCGAACGCGGCAUCAGGCGAAAAGUAUACGGGUAUCUUCAACAGGGUGAGGGAUGAUAAACUAUCGCCCGACUCUUCUGCCAGGCAGCAGUCAUCUGGCAAUCGCAAAGACGAAAAUAAGGUGCAACAGACAUGUCCUUGCUGCAUACUUUGA
rnacentral:rRNA from 1 species